UGGACACGUGCAACAUCAUCUGGGCAAUGAUAUGAAUAGAUCACCGAUGCUCAGAUCUACAGUUAUAUAGGCCUGCAGAAGAUAUGGAGAAAAUCGGGAAUCUUCAACAGGGUUACCAUGGAAACGUACCUCUACAUCAAGACAAUGGUGUAAUGGAUGACAGACGUUCAGAUCUAUAUUGUAGAUCAGGUUUUGGAGCACAAAAGGGUUGCCACGGAAACGUACAUCUACAUCUAGACAAUGGUAUAAAUGGAUGACAGACUUCCAAGACUACAAACAGCAGAGAGAGAAUUCCUGCAACUUAUCACGUGGUAACGCUUAGCUUUAAAUAGUCUAAGCCUCGCUAAUACCUGAAAAUGAAUUCGAGCAAGUCUUGAAUUUAAACCAAAUUCUGGAUAAAAGAUGCGCUUACGGAACACUCAAUUUACCUGGUAUGUUUUUGUUUCGUAAUACUGUGUGUUCGGUGUUUGCUGUUGUCAGGGGUUUGUUUACAGUGAGUCGCUACUUGGUGGUGUUUGUUGUGUGUUGGUGGUGAUGUUUGUUUUGUUUUGUGUUGGUGGUUGUGUUUGUGACGGUGUUUUAGUGUUUGUGGUGGUGUUUCUGGUGUCUUUGAUGUGGUCUUCUUGGUCGUAUACGAUAUGAUUUAUGUUGUUUUGUUAAAAAAGGUUUUUGUUGUUGCGAACUGUUUGUCGCAUUGGGUCUUCGUUUUUUUCGUUCCGUUGCAAUGUGUAUUUCUUUCUGUCAUUAGCAAUAUAUUAUUACUAGAUUUAAUCUUGUACACAAUUAUUAGAAUGAUUUAAAUACCGAGAUGAGUUUUAAUGAUUCUACAUGUUCCGUCAAUUUUAGAUAGCUGGAAAGACAUACCAUGAAUUAUGCAGACGACAGAUUAUAAGGUGCUGACGACAGACAUAAGGUGCAGACGACAACCGGGCAAUGCGCGCAUUUGUUCUAUAUUUUAUUUGUGAUUUUUGUUCUUUUUGUUUUGUAUUGUUAUCUUUAAUGCUAGAGUGUGGGGUACUUGGAAAAUAAAGACACAGACGGAUAUGGAGAUGCAUACCGAAAAUUGUGCGUUUCUCAAUAUCAUGAACAGAUUUCACAAUGGUUUCAUGGGCGGUGCAGUUACAGUGACUGAUGCUGACAAGGGCGUGCACGGACGUCAAGUUGUAGAUUUCACAAUGGUUUAGUGGACGAAGCAGUUUGGUCCUUUGUCGGGCGCAAUGAGAAAGCACAACUCGAUUUUACUCCUGGAGUAAUUCAAGACCACAGAAAUGUGCAUACAGUCUCUGGCUUUGGUGAAAAGAAAACUCGAAGUACCGGACUAUUCGAUGAGAAACGAGAUGCACGAACAACCCGACGAGAAACAAUUUCCU